AGAUGACAAAGGAGAUGUCGUUUCAGGGAUUUCUGGGACUUGUGAGAUCAAGCUCAGGUGUAAAUACUGCUAAGGAACAAGGUGUGGAUUUGUUAUCUGAAAAUGUUGUAAAGGAUUUUGAGAAGGCUUGGGGCGGCCCUGAAUUGGUCAGAACUGUCAUCUUCAAGACUUACAUGCUUGCAGGAAAAGUUAAGGUCUAAUUAACUUUUCACUUUCAAGUUUCAAACCCUGUUGGCUGUGCCUGUACCUCCAUAUUAUCUGACUCAUCUGAUGGAACCCCAUAGUCUACUCGUUCCUUUUCCUUGAGAAAUAAUUCAGAUUAAUUAAUAAUGUUUAGUUGAUAAAAUAAUGUAUUUAAUCUGCGUUUUCUAGGAAAUACAUUAUCUUUUUUUUUUUUUUAAAAAAAAAAA
rnacentral:misc_RNA from 1 species